rnacentral:rRNA from 1 species
ACGUAGGGGGCAAGCGUUAUCCGGAAUUAUUGGGCGUAAAGGGUGCGUAGGCGGCCUUUCAAGUUGGAUGUGAAAUCCCCAUGCUUAACAUGGGAAUUGCAUGCAAAACUGGAGGGCUUGAGUGUGGAAGAGGGGAGUGGAAUUCCCAGUGUAGCGGUGAAAUGCGUAGAUAUGCGGAGGAACACCAGUGGCGAAGGCGACCUACUGGGCCUGAACUGACGCUGAUGCACGAAAGCGUGGGGAGCAAACAG